GGGAAGGGAACAGCUUGACAAGUGACUCCCUGAUACAAUUCAGAGUCCUUGUAAUAUCUAACAGAUGCCUCCAAGAAGAAGGGAUCAGGACAUAUUCACUAAACACAAACGAUGACGAUGCACGAUAGCUAACAUUUAAGCUUGCAUCCUGCAAAUCACAGUAGAGCAAUAAUUGUGAAUAAACUUUGAGUAUUUACUUUC